rnacentral:misc_RNA from 1 species
AGUCGUAACAAGGUUUCCGUAGGUGAACCUGCGGAAGGAUCAUUACUAAAUCCAACCAAAUUAUACAAUACAAUGUUGAAAUGUGUGUGUUGUUUUUGCGAUGAGAGAGUAGAGAAAGAGAGAGAGAAAUGUGUGCGAGUAAUGGAGAUGAUGAUUUCACAAUCAUCAUCAUCAUCAUCAAUCAUCAUCUCUCUCUCAUCUCACAUCUUUCUUUCGCAAAAAUAAUAUAAUCUAUACACCCUUUGAUUGAUGUACACCAAUGACAGUUUCAUUAUAAUUUUAUUAUAAAAAGCAUAACUUUUAACAAUGGAUCUCUUGGCUCUU